UACGGAGGGGGCUAGCGUUGUUCGGAAUUACUGGGCGUAAAGCGCACGUAGGCGGCUUUGUAAGUUAGAGGUGAAAGCCCGGAGCUCAACUCCGGAAUUGCCUUUAAGACUGCAUCGCUUGAAUCAUGGAGAGGUGAGUGGAAUUCCGAGUGUAGAGGUGAAAUUCGUAGAUAUUCGGAAGAACACCAGUGGCGAAGGCGACUCACUGGACAUGUAUUGACGCUGAGGUGGCGAAAGCGUGGGGAGCAAACAGG
rnacentral:rRNA from 1 species